ACUCCUACGGGAGGCAGCAGUGGGGAAUAUUGCACAAUGGGCGCAAGCCUGAUGCAGCAACGCCGCGUGAGUGAUGAAGGCCUUCGGGUCGUAAAGCUCUGUCCUCAAGGAAGAAUAAAUGACGGUACUUGAGGAGGAAGCCCCGGCUAACUACGUGCCAGCAGCCGCGGUAAUACGUAGGGGCAAGCGUUAUCCGGAAUCACUGGGCGUAAAGGGUGCGUAGGCGGUUUUCAAGUCAGAAGUGAAAGGCUAUGGCUCAACCAUAGUAAGCUUUUGAAACUGUUAAACUUGAGUGCAGGAGAGGAAAGUGGAAUUCCUAGUGUAGAGGUGAAAUUCGUAGAUAUUAGGAGGAACACCAGUGGCGAAGGCGACUUUCUGGACUGUAACUGACGCUGAGGCACGAAAGCGUGGGAGCGAACAGGAUUAGAUACCCUGGUAGCACAGAG
rnacentral:rRNA from 1 species